GGUGGCUCAGUGGUAGAGUGCUUGCCUUGCAUGCAUGAGUCCCUGGGUUCAAUUUCUAAGCACCA
rnacentral:tRNA from 1 species